rnacentral:rRNA from 1 species
AUUGAAUGCUGGCGGCAUGCCUUACACAUGCAAGUCGAACGGCAGCACGGACUUCGGUCUGGUGGCGAGUGGCGAACGGGUGAGUAACAUAUCGGAACAUACCCUAGAGUGGGGGAUAACGUAGCGAAAGUUACGCUAAUACCGCAUACGAUCUAAGGAUGAAAGUGGGGGAUCUUCGGACCUCAUGCUCAUGGAGUGGCCGAUAUCUGAUUAGCUAGUUGGUGAGGUAAAGGCUCACCAAGGCGACGAUCAGUAGCUGGUUUGAGAGAACGACCAGCCACACUGGAACUGAGACACGGUCCAGACUCCUACGGGAGGCAGCAGUGGGGAAUUUUGGACAAUGGGGGCAACCCUGAUCCAGCAAUGCCGCGUGAGUGAAGAAGGCCUUCGGGUUGGUUAAA